rnacentral:rRNA from 1 species
GUGGGGAAUAUUGGGCAAUGGGGGAAACCCUGACCCAGCGACGCCGCGUGAGGGAAGAAGGCCUUAGGGUCGUAAACCUCUGUUGUGUGGGAAGAAGAGCGUGACGGUACCACACGAGGAAGUCCCGGCUAACUACGUGCCAGCAGCCGCGGUAAUACGUAGGGGACGAGCGUUGUCCGGAUUUACUGGGCGUAAAGGGCGCGUAGGCGGUCAUUUAAGUCAGCUGUGAAAUGGUUUGGCUUAACCGGAUCAUGCGGUUGAAACUGGAUGACUGGAGUGCUGGAGAGGCAAGUGGAAUUCCCAGUGUAGCGGUGAAAUGCGUAGAUAUUGGGAAGAACACCGGUGGCGAAGGCGACUUGCUAGCCAGCAACUGACGCUGAGGCGCGAAAGCCAGGGGAGCAAACGGGAUUAGAAACCCGAGUAGUCC